CUCGAACACGUUUACAAUCAGGACUUUUCCACUGAAUUGGAAAGAUGUUUCUAUCAGUCACAAGGUCUGGUGAGAGUGGAACCUUGUGUAUAGAACCAAUGAUUCAGAUUCAGUAUGGAUUUCAAGAUGCUUCGAAGCUGCCUUAUCCUUUCUCGUUACCAGGAAUUGUUCCAGUUCGGACCUAACGAUAUGUCUUUCUGUAAUGUGUAAUUUGGUGUCGUUACUCAUUGUCAUUGUCUUGUUUUCCUGAUGAACCUUUAUGUUGCUAUUUGCUGUGUUUUGUUAAAGCUCCUUUAUAUGCCGUUGACAUGUUUGUUUUACCAUCAUUUGCUUGAAAACACCUCUGCAUUUCUUAAGAAACUGUUAAUUAAAAUACAGCAUCUCAGGGCUUGAGGGAAAAACGGAAAAAAAA